GACGAACGCUGGCGGCGUGCCUAAUACAUGCAAGUUGAGCGCUGAAGGUUGGUACUUGUACCGACUGGAUGAGCAGCGAACGGGUGAGUAACGCGUGGGGAAUCUGCCUUUGAGCGGGGGACAACAUUUGGAAACGAAUGCUAAUACCGCAUAAAAACUUUAAACACAAGUUUUAAGUUUGAAAGAUGCAAUUGCAUCACUCAAAGAUGAUCCCGCGUUGUAUUAGCUAGUUGGUGAGGUAAAGGCUCACCAAGGCGAUGAUACAUAGCCGACCUGAGAGGGUGAUCGGCCAAAUUGGGACUGGGACACGGCCCAAACUCCUACGGGAGGCAGCAGUAGGGAAUCUUCGGCAAUGGACGAAAGUCUGACCGAGCAACGCCGCGUGAGUGAAGAAGGGUUUCGGAUCGUAAAACUCUGUUGGUAGAGAAGAACGUUGGUGAGAGUGGAAAGCUCAUCAAGUGACGGUAACUACACAGAAAGGGACGGCUAACUACGUG
rnacentral:rRNA from 1 species